UACGUAGGGUGCAAGCGUUGUCCGGAAUUAUUGGGCGUAAAGAGCUCGUAGGCGGUCUGUCGCGUCUGCUGUGAAAAUCCAGGGCUCAACCCUGGACCUGCAGUGGGUACGGGCAGACUAGAGUGCGGUAGGGGAGAUCGGAAUUCCUGGUGUAGCGGUGAAAUGCGCAGAUAUCAGGAGGAACACCGAUGGCGAAGGCAGGUCUCUGGGCUGACACUGACGCUCAUGCACGAAAGCGUGGGGAGCAAACAGG
rnacentral:rRNA from 1 species